rnacentral:lncRNA from 1 species
UUUUUUCAAUAAAUGAAAGGUAGUUAUUUUAUAGUCUGCAUUUGCUAAUUCUAAUAUCUGCAUUAGUUGCAGGUUUGUUUUAGCUGUGAUUUUUUACAUAAAGCCCUCCCUUGCCUACACACAAACAACACACACACACACACAAACACACACACACACACACACACCCCGGGAAAUUUACCUGUAGAUUAUUUGAGGCCUGGGCUGAAGCUGAGUUUCUCUAAGAGGGCUUUGCUUCAGUUACCACUUUAAAUUAAGUUCCUGGAUUCAAAUUUUUCAGACUGCCAAGAUAGAGUGGAUUCAGACUGAAACGUUGGUCAUGUAAGGGCUAGCUUGUGGUUAUAAAGUCUCAAGGACGAUUUUAUUAUCUUACCACUUACUGCCAAGAUCAAGUCAACUAAGAUUUCCUGCUGUUCAUUGCUGUGUGCUGGGUUUAUUUCUCAUCUGCUCUUAUACUGCUGGGGUCCAGAUUUACCUGAAGUCUCCUAUGAGAAUAUUCAGUUGCUUCCCCUUUUAUUAAAUUGUUCUUCAGAUUCCUUCAUUUUUUAUCAGUCCAGUGAUGCGCUAAAGCAAAAGGCGAAUUGGAUGUCCAGAUUUGAGCAAAGAGCAGACUGAAGGUUGGGGAACAUUAAAUAGAAGUCAAAGAAUAUGCAAGGGCGCUUCUGGGCAUGACCUAUGAAUGGACAAAUUCCACACUGAUAUUUCCCCUAAAAAGUAAGUAUGUUCAUUAGUAAGACCAUGUUAGCCCCUGGAAGGGAUCCUCUUGAGUCAAGUUUAGCUCAGUUUAGAAACCGGCCAUGCCUACAAUUAGUUUCUGUCCUUAUUUUUUAAUGUGAUUAUUCUUGCAUGUGAAGCUAAAGGAACCCAGAAUUAGUUGACAGGCUUUUUACUUAAAAUGGUUGCCUUUAAAGCAAUUUCCCCAGUUAAUUUGUUUUACUGCCAUCAGUUAAACUGAGGUUAAAAGAAGAAAUAUCUCCAAUAAACUACUGCCAAUCAAGCACAAUUAUCCACUGCUAUGGCAGCAAUUCUAGACCAUAAAAGAACUUCCAAUGCUUCUUGAAAUCAAAAUAUGAGAGGAUGAAAUUAUUUUCCAUUCAGU